AUUAUAAAAACUUCUCUGGUGGGUGUUAAUAGUAAUCCGAUUUUUUGUUUUCUAAAGUCGGGAAUACACCGCCUCAAAGUAAGCCCGGCCCACGCAAUUAUCUAGGGUUUCGGUUUCACUAUAAAAACUCCGAAACACACCUUCCUUCACUUCCCAAUCUCAGUUAAUUCUUCGCAGUUUAUCUUCUUCGUUGGGUUUUCGUCUGAACUUCUCUUCCGUUUUCAACAACCAUGAGGGCUAAGUGGAAGAAGAAGCGUAUGAGGAGGUUGAAGAGGAAGCGCCGAAAGAUGAGACAGAGAUCCAAGUAGUGUGUUUUCUCCAACACUAUCAAUUGCUCUUAGUUUUGUUUUCCAUUCCGUGUUGUUCUUGUUUUGAAAGAUACUUCUUAGUAAGAGAGUGGAAUCGGGUUCUCUCUCGCUUUUUGAUUUUAUGUUUUUUCGCGUUUGUCCUACCUCAAACAUUUGGUUUAUUAUGGAGUUAACUUAUUUUAAUUUUUGUUU